AGACUAGAUACUAACCCGCGCUAUGCGCGGAAAUUAUUUAAACGAAUCUUUCUAAUUGUUACUGAAAUUAGAAUAUAUAAAUUAUGUUUUUCUUUUUUUUUUUGCACAAUAGAUAUUUUUUAUAUAUUUGUGUAUAUAAUAUAGUUUGUGGAUAUAUAAUAUACACGGGUAUUUUUUUUCCUUCCAUAUAAGUAUAUAUAUAAAUAUUUAUAAGCUAAGACGAAAAUAACUUAUAUAAUCGUAUGGCCCAUCAAUGGCAUUUUUUUAUAUAUGAAAUUGGCCCAUUAGCUAGAGUUUUGAGGAAAAAAGAAUACCGAUAUUUUUUCCCGGAAGGUCAAUAAGAUGUAACUACUUUACUUUCUUUUUACUUUCCUUUCACUUUUCUGUCGGUGGUGCUGAAACGUUUCUCCAUAAACAUCAAAGAAAUCUUCUCAAUCGAAAACAAAUCAAAUAGAUUUUCCCCGAUUCACGAUCAAAUCUUGGCCACCUUAAGGAGUUUUUUGUGGCUUCGCCGCAAGAUUGGCGAAGAAUCAUACACUCGCAGAGCAAAGUUUAUGGAACUUAUUUAAAUCAAGCUGUAGUUCGACUAUCGUUAGCGUCUUCGAAGACACUCCUUUGAUCGAGAAUCUUGAAUGAUGAAGGCAAAGCUAAUGAUGAGAUAAGUUCCAUGUUUUUUUUUGGACACCGGUUUUCUCUGGUUCAAUUUUCCAAAAUUGUUUUAGGAUUUAAAGGUUUUAAAAAUCGACUUGUGAUAUAUUUAUCGACAGGUAACAAUGUUUUGAUCUUCUGAGACUAAAGAAGAGUAGUCAAGUAAAAGUUGAAGAAAGGGAGAGUAAGGAGAAUUCACAUAUAAUGAAGCUUGAAUUUAUGGCUAGUUGGUCGAUACUUCCCGGUUGCUGGAGUAAACGAGAAAUUCUCAUGGAACCUCCAUUCUCCAACUUGCAAUCUCUUAACACGAGCGAGGAAGAGCCUCUUGCAGUGAUUGAUAUGAACUACAGAGAACACAGAAGAAAAAGUGUUGUGAUUCAAGUAAUGAAAUGAAGUAUAAACAUGUUUGUCCAAGCAGAGUCUGUAUGUAAGAUAUAAUCUAUAGAUAAGAAUUGUGUAUCGUAUUAUUUUUAUAAUUAUAGAUAACCAGUCCAGGGUAAAAUUACUCGACAUUCAGAAGGUUGGUUUAGUUUUAUAACGGAUGCUGGUAUGAUUUUAAUAUAAAAUCGGUUUAUUCAUUAAGAAGGGUAUAACUAAUAUCACAUGUAACUCUCUAGGAAAGGUCCGAAAAAUUAAAACAACUUCUAUCAGUAGAUUUUUUUUUAGGACUCUGUUUUAAUAAAGUAGAUAAUAACCUAGAUCACAAAUAAAGUAUAUCCCGCCCGUAGGGUGGACCAACCCUAAUAAAAUAUAAAGUUAUGUAAAAUAGUAUUGUUACAUAAUAAUGUUUACAAAAUAUAUUUUUUUUACAAAAUACAAAAAAAAUAUGUAAAAUAAUAUUGUUACAUAAUAAUGUUAUAUAAAUUAGAAUAUUUUAAUAUAAAAGAAUAAAACCCAAGAUCUAGUUCUCAUAAUUAAACUGAGAUGGACUAAACGAUUCGAUUGACUUAAAUAAUCAGGUGCCAAAUUUCUGCCGCUAACUAUGUCCCUCGAUGGUUGGAUUAAUCAUAUGACUCUUGACAUGAACAGCUGUAGCUACAUAUAUAUAGGCCUGGGAAUAUGAGUUUUUACCCGCGGGACCCGGCCCGUUUGACCCGCCGCGGGGCGGGUGCGGGUCGAACAAUUUAGAAAAAUCGAUUCGCGGGUGCGGGUGCGGGUU